rnacentral:rRNA from 1 species
UACGUAGGGUGCAAGCGUUGUUCGGAAUUAUUGGGCGUAAAGCGCGUGUAGGUUGCUAGGUAAGUCGAUUGUAAAAGCCCUAGGCUCAACCAAGGAAGUGCAUUCGAAACUACCUAGCUAGAGGAUGGCAGAGGAAGGUGGAAUUCCAAGUGUAGAGGUGAAAUUCGUAGAUAUUUGGAGGAAUACCGGCGGCGAAGGCGGCCUUCUGGACCAUUCCUGACACUGAGACGCGAAAGCGUGGGGAGCAAACAGGAUUAGAUACCCUGGUAGUCCACGCUGUAAACGAUGGGUACUAGAUGUUGCGGGAAUUGACCCCUGCAGUGUCGACGCUAACGCAUUAAGUACCCCGCCUGGGGAGUACGGCCGCAAGGUUAAA